GACGAACGCUGGCGGCGUGCCUAAUACAUGCAAGUCGAGCGAGAGGCGGACGGGUGAGUAACACGUAAGGAACCUACCGAUAAGCGGGGGACAACAUCCGGAAACGGGUGCUAAUACCGCAUAAUUAUCGAUGGCCUUGCGGUGCAUUAGCUGGUUGGGGGGGUAACGGCCUACCAAGGCAAUGGAGCAUAGCCGACCUGGAAGGGUAAUCGGCCACAUUGGGACUGAGAAACGGCCCAAACUCCUACGGGAGGCAGCAGUAGGGAAUCUUCCGCAAUGGGCGCAAGCCUGAUGCAGCCAUGCCGCGUGUAUGAAGAAGGCCUUCGGGUUGUAAAGUACUUUCAGCGAGGAGGCGUUACUCGCAGAAGAAGCACCGGCUAACUCCGUGCCAGCAGCCGCGGUAAUAC
rnacentral:rRNA from 1 species